AUGUUUAACCUGAGUAGCGAAAGACCACGGGGGUCUGAAAACGAUGUGCCGGGAGCUGUUGUUGCUGGCUCUAGUGACCCUCGACCUCCCAGUCAGCUAUCGAGCUGGUGGGUAACACAUGUCUCCGAAAACGUUGGAGCACUUUUACAAAUAUGUGAUGUCUUGAUAAACCAAGCAGAUUCCUUCUUCCUCCUUCUUCCUCCUUCUUACUUCUUCUUCUUUCUUCUUCUUCCUUCUACUUCUUCUUCUUCUUCGUCUUUCUCCUUCUUUCGUCUUUCUCCUUCUUUCGUCUUUCUCUUCUUCUUCUUUCUUCUUCCUUCUUCUUCUUCUUCUUUCUUCUUUCUUCUUCUUCUUCCUUCUUCUUUCUUCUUUCUUCUUCUUCUUCUUUCUUCUUUCUUCUUCUUCUUCUUUCUUCUUUCUUCUUCUUCUUCUUCUUUCUUCUUUCUUCUUCUUCUUUCUUCUUCUUUCUUCUUCUUCUUUCUUCUUCUUUCUUCUUUCUUUCUUCUUUCUUCUUUCUUCUUUCUUCUUCUUCUUUCUUCUUCUUCUUUUUCUUCUUUUCUUCUUUCUUCUUCUUCUUUUCUUCUUUCUUCUUUCUUCUUCUUUCUUUCUUCUUUCUUCUUCUUUCUUUCUUCUUCUUCUUUCUUCUUCUUCUUCUUCUUUCUUCUUCUUCUUCUUCUUCUUCUUCUCUUCUUCUUCUUCUUCUUUCUUUCUUUCUUUCUUUCUUUCUUUCUUUCUUUCUUUCUUUCUUUCUUUCUUCUUCUUCUUUUUCUUCUUUCUUCUUCUUCUUUCUUUCUUCUUCUUCUUUUUUCUUUCUUUCUUUCUUUCUUCUUUCUUUCUUCUUUCUUUCUUCUUCUUUCUUUCUUCUUCUUUCUUUCUUCUUUCUUUCUUUCUUCUUUCUUUCUUCUUUCUUUCUUUCUUCUUCUUUCUUUCUUUCUUCUUUCUUUCUUUCUUCUUUCUUUCUUCUUCUUUCUUUCUUUCUUCUUUCUUUCUUCUUCUUUCUUUCUUUCUUCUUCUUUCUUUCUUCUUUCUUUCUUCUUUCUUUCUUCUUCUUCUUUCUUUCUUCUUCUUUCUUUCUUCUUUCUUCUUCUUCUUCUUUCUUCUUCUUCCUUCUACUUCUUCUUCUUCGUCUUUCUCCUUCUUUCUUCUUCUUCUUUCUUCUUCUAA
rnacentral:lncRNA from 1 species